AGUUUAACACUAUAAGAGAAAGGUAUGUAAAGGGUCAGUAAAGACAUUAUUUAACAUUUAUACUCUAUUAAGAAAGCAAUCUCCCGUUGAGUACGAAAAUAUAAAAUAUAUCAUGUAAUGAGUAUUGAGUAAUUGCAAAAUUUUGACAAAAUGAAACCAAAUUUUAGCUCCAAUUGUUUAAUUUGCCUUUUCACUGAAAAGUGAGCAUAAAGAGUCAUCAAGACUUCCUCGACACUUCACAAUCUAACUGCGUUCAGUUUAGUAACAUUUUAAGUUAUUAUUUCUUUGGAUAUAUCAUCAAUAAUGUAUUUCGGAUGCUUGUGUUUAUUGUUAACCAUGGUAAUGCAAGGAACAAGUCGAUCCAUCAACAACCAAUUGACAACAUUUCAUCCAAUCAAAGACAUUUCUUUGAGACGGACGACAGAGACUCCGAUUUACAACCAAAUUCCUUCACCAUUGCUGAUAUCAGAUAUGGAAACAUCAUAAACAUAAGACUCUAGGUGAUUUGGUAUAACAUUUUUCCAUUACUGAGAAAACGCCUUUAGGUUGGUUGAACCGUCGAAGGGCUUCUCGUAUAUCACAUGGCGUUAUACUGUUGCUUGUAGCAAAAGAUUCGGUUGUAUCCUUUAAAAGAUAAAGCCAAGAUUAGUCAAUAAAAUGAGAAAGUAAAUAAUAUGAUAUGGAAUACGCUGACAACUCACAAUUUUCAUACGCUUAGCAGAUUGUCCAGAGAUAUCAUCAUCGUUGUCACCAGCGUCCUUUGGUUGUGCUGUAGCGUUUUUUUGACUGAAUGAAGGCACAGUGAACAUUGGAUAAUCCGGGUUUCUCAUUUUGGACGAUAUCAAACCAGAAACUGGAUCAUUAUCUUGAAUCUGGCGGUCUUGUUUAACUAGUAAUGCGAUAUCUACAAUCUAAAAGUUAUGAUCAUUAAAUUAUAUUUUCAAAUGAA